rnacentral:lncRNA from 1 species
GCAUGCAUCGUCGUCGGCUGUAUUUGGCAUUUGGCGAGCCACAGCAGACACGUAGUAGCAGGUCGUGGCAAGCGUCACCUUCACCUAAACCUCUAGUUUUUACCGUCAAACCACCGCUUGAGCUUUAUAUUGUGCAAAGAAGACGAGUGAUCCGUCGACGACGAGGACUACGACUGAUAGAAACUAUGGGCAGCUUACCAGUUCAACUAACAAGACAGUUCCCUUUCGAGUAUGCUGCUGACUGUAUCGAGAUCUAGACUAUAGACCGGACUGGCAGAGCUCGAGUCAUGUAAUCCACAUACGUACGUACGUGACAUCCUGAUCGUUCUUCCAGUCUCCGCCAGUCUCCAUCGGAUCGACUUGUCUUGUGAUCUCAGCAGGGGCGGAGCCAGGAUUUCAUCAUAGGGGGGCGAAGAACACAUUGAAACACACAAGAGACAUAACACAAAAAUAUUUCAAUUCUUAAUAUUAUAGAAAUUUCAAACAUGUAACAGUAAAAAGCAAAUAUGUAAUUGACCUAACAAAUAUCAAAAUAUAUUAUCAAAAUAUGUAAUUGUGUGUGGGCAGUGAGCUUGCCGCGUGCGGCAGAGAUAUCAAUCAGGCUGGAAUAAGACACAUAUAUUGUAACUGAUCGAUUACAAAGUGAAAUACAUGUGUUUGCUGGAAAGAUACAGACAUAUAGUUAAAGCAUCUGAAUCUGAUUAAGACGGCAACUCAGCCAGACCUGCGUUCAGCCAGGCUCACCUGGAGUAGAGCAGGCUCACCUGGACUCAAGAGGAGGCUCGGACGGAUCAACGAAAAAUCUGCUUCGAAAGUUCCAAUUCCUCCUGCCAGAGCUGCUUAGCCUGCGCAUGCGUGUAUGUACUCUGUAUACUCACGGCAGCACGGUCGACGACGACGGAGCACGGCGGGUCGGCGGCGACGGCGCGGCAGCCGGCGCGGCGGCGUCAAUGAACCCUAGCGGCUGGCGUGGCGUGGAGGAAAAAGUCUUGCUCAAAUCGAACGUGUGGCUCGAUUAACCUAGAGUCAAUCAUCAGAUUAGUCAAUGGAUGGACGGAUACUACGUAGAGAGAACAUGCAGCCUUGGGCUUGGCUUUGACGUCUCGGCCUGAUAGCUGGG